GCUGGUUUCUUCCAUUUGAUUCCGACAUUAUUGCAGGUAUUGUCUUAACUCUUAAUUUUCUGAUUUUUUUCUUCUUUUUACUUAUAAGCCUUCUAGAAGAUAUCUUGUUUCCGAGCCAUUUUUUCCGGCUCAGCGCUACUUGUCUUUUUGUUUUGGGGUAAUAUUAUUUCAUUUUUGCCCCUAAACUUGGGAAAUAAAUUCAUUUUAGUACGUACUUUGUUUCGUUAUUUUGGUUCCUGAACUUGAAAAUUAUAAAAGUUUGAUGAUGUGGUGUUUUAAAAUUGCGCCACAUUAUCACUUGAAAAUUAAAAAUUUUAUAUAAAUAUUUAGGUGAUAAUAUGCUACAAUCUCAUUAUAUAAUAUUCGGUGUUUUAAUAACUGGAUCGAUGGUUGAACAAUUCAAAUCAUUAGUUUCCAAUUUGACUAGUUCGAUCGGUUCGACUAUAGACCAACAAUAAUUAAAUAAAUAAUUAGAAAUUCAUAAAAAUUUUAAGAAAAACAUAUUAAAUUAAUUCAACUUGUUCAACUGUCCAUUUUUGUCUUGAUUUUUUAUUUUUACCAAUCUUAAGCAAUUUUCGAGUCAAUUGGUUCAACCUUUUUAUUUGGACUAUUAUAACGAUUUGUUCUCAAUCCAUUUGAUUUGGUCUUGUUCUAGUAAACACUGGCCACAUCAUCAAAUUUGACAGAACUCAAAUUUAAGGACCAAAGUGGAUCUAGUUGUCAAGUUCAAGGAUCAAACUGGACAAAAACAAAGUACAAGUACCAAAGUGGACCUGGUUGCCAAGUUUAGGGGCCAAAAAAUUAUAUUAUCCAUUUUGUUUCACCUAAAAAAAAAGUUGUUGAAUGAAUUAUGAAUCAUAUUAAACAAAAACAAGUUAUAUUUAUAAUGAAUCAAAUAUUAAAUUUAAAUCUAUUUGGUAGCUUGUGGUGGUAUAAAACUAUUUGGUAUUAUUCAUGUUAUCUUGCCUAUGAAAUGUUUCUUACUUUGGUUAGUCGAUGAACUUGGUUGAUGAAUAUAGUCAUGAGAAAACGAAUUAUAAGUGAUGGUUGAAUGAGCGUGAAAUGUUAAGUAGUUUGUGCUUGAAUAGUUAAUGUUGUGGUGCCAUUGAUGACAUUUUGGUUAGGCACUUAGGUUGGUUGAUAUUUUGUAUGCUUUGGCAAGUUUUUGAUGCAUUAUAUGUAAGUUUAAUGAAUGGUAAUUGCAUGACUUGUGGUCUAAGUGAUUAUAGGUAUGAUGGCUUGGUUUUGAAGGCAUGUUUAGAUACACACGGCCGUGUGCCACACACAGUUGCAUGACACGGCCAUGUGGUAUGUUUGAUUUUGGAGCAGGUUCGUUUACAUAGCAUCAGUCUGUUACACGGCCGUGUGACCUUGGAGUACACGAUGUCAGUUUGUUAUACAACACAACCAUGUCAUAGGACCAUAUAGUCUCAACCUUGUCACACAAUCGUGUGACCCCUGUUUAUAUUUUUUACCUGAAUUUUUGUAAAAGUUUCAAUUUAGUCCCAAUUUGAUUCCGAG
rnacentral:lncRNA from 1 species